GAUAUUUCAACAUAUCUCCCCAAAGAAUCUUUGCUGCAAAAGGAAGAUAGAACCCCAUCAGUUAUGCCAUUUAUUCCACAGGAAUCACAACAGCAUUGUGGACAUCUCCCUUCAAAUGUGUCACAUAGUAAACAAGAUGAUGUCAUAAUGCUGUGUCUGACCUGACACCAUCAGAUGUCUGUCCAAACACCUGGUGACAUUGCUGCAGGCAAAAGAGAAUGACUGAGACUGAAACAAAUGUUAAGAAAAGCUGGGUAGCUGCCAAAAAGGAGAAGCAUUUUGUGAAAAUGCUGAAGGCAUUCACAAAAAGAUGAAUGGAAUUUGUCCCUGAUGUGUGGUAAAACACAUAUAAUUCAAGAAACUGGAGGGAGGAGAGAGCGUACAAUCUCUCUAGUGUUUAUGGGUAACUAAUCAAAUGUAACAGAGUCUCAGAUUAAUUGGAACUGAUGUCCUAGUCAUAAUCAGUUGAUGACAUACAUUGCCCUUAGCCACAAUAUGCCCCCAAAGUAAUGACUUUAUGACUUCAGAGAGAGAGGACAAUUUCAUUCGCUGUCAGAGCUGUAUAACAGUUCUGCUGCAAGAAAGUACAAAAUUUCAGUUGUGACUUAUGAUCAAAGGGUUGUAGUCUCUCAGUGAUAAUGGCACAGUUGCUGAAAAGCCUCACAGUACUAUGAGCAGUCAGAUAAUUACUAGGAAAGAUGACAGUAAAACCACAGAAUUGUUACUUGGCAUUUUCUCUUUUUCCCCAUUAAAAAAGGCAUUUUGUUGCCUCUUAGAACAACUGAUAAAAAUGUACUUUUUGGAUGGAUGCAGUUAAAUUCACACUUCCAGCCACU